rnacentral:tRNA from 2 species
GCCUGGGUGGUGGAAUUGGUAGACACGCAGGACUUAAAAUCCUGUGAUCCUUAAAGAUCGUACGGGUUCGACCCCCGUCCCGGGUA